rnacentral:lncRNA from 1 species
AACAACCUACGUCCAGUCCUGAAAAUCCAAUCGGAUUUCAGAUUUUCUUCUCCUUCAAUAGAAAGAAUCAAUUACAGAUUGUCCAGUUUCCUCCCUGAAACCUAUCUAUCUUAAUGAUCUCUUUCCUAUUGAAUACCCUCUGAUCCUUGUAGAUACUCGUCAACCUAUCACAGAAUCACAGUGCGACUCUUUCUUGUUGAACACUCUUCACCCAAGAAAGUAGCCACCAGUUUCUAGCUGGCUUUCUAUCAACCCUUUGAUCCUUGUAGACAAUCGGCAGCCUAACACAAAAUCAAAGUACGACUCUUUCUUGUUGAGACCUCUCACCCAAGAAAGUAGCCACCAGUUUCUAGCUGGAUUUCUAGCGUUCGUUUUGGUUCAAAGAUUUAUUACAGAAUGAAUAAAAGAAGUAAAACAAAAGGGUCUUCAAUCUUUAUGAAUGUUGCUCCUCACGAAUCUGGAUAUUCAAGGAAUGUUCAUGAGCACAUUAUCAUUUCUCUUGGAUUGUCAACAAACUGUAUUGUAAUCUGUAAUCACAAUUAUGAAGUUGUUAGUUUGUUGUUAUGAACAGUUGAGAGCAUUAUGAGAAAUUAUGAAAGUUAUGAAUUGUUAUGAAAAAGUUAUUAGAAUAAAGAUUGAAAGACAGUUUAUAUAGUUUCUGAAAAACCAACUACGCAAUCGAUUUCCCAAUCGAUUUUGUAAAGUUAUAAAAGGUGCUAAAUCGAUUUGCCAAUCGAUUAUCGCGAUCUUGGUUUUCUUUAAUCUUGAAACUAUACAAGCUAAUCGAUUUACCAAUCGAUUCUUUUAAAACCACUUUUCAGUAUAACAUGUUCAGACUUGUUGGAAUCGAUUGCCUAAUCGAUUUCUGGAAAACUGUUUCAAUAAGAGUAAGUUCAAUCGAUUACUCAAUCGCUGUUCCAACUCUCAGAGUUCACUGUGUUUUCAAAAAGUUUAUUUCAAUCGAUUUGCCAAUCGAUUGUGUUCAAAACAGUGGCUCAGUUUUUU